AUUGUAAAGAACUGUCUAAGGUCUUGGGCUGAGAGUGAAAGGCUGUUCCUGCUGCCGCUCGUGUCCUCCGCUGUUCAUGGCCACUACACAGGUGACUGCAGCACUGAGAAACUGUGCCAUCAUCUGUACCAGCCUACGGCAGGCACUCAGCGGAAAGGUGUGCUUCAUGAGACACACCCUACUGCAAGUGGCUUCAUAGUCCUGAGCACCUUCAGCUCACUGCUUUACCCUGGAGACUGGCUUUGCCCUGGAUCAGAAUAAUUACAGCAUGUUUCACC
rnacentral:lncRNA from 1 species